rnacentral:misc_RNA from 1 species
UUUACUUGCAUUUCGCCUGCGAAGGUUGUUUUCACUUACUUUUGGAUGUGUUUGACAUAAAAAGAAUGAUAUGCUCUAGUGAUCCUUCUUAUUUGUUGUUUGGUAUUUAAUCUUAAUAAUGCCUUUGUUAAAUAAAUUUAUUUCCUCAUUGCUAUCAGAUGGGAUACACCUUAUUCAGCUUUAACUAACUACAUUAUGCACAAGUAGUUGCACAACUUAGUUUUUACAAGUCUCAACUAAUUUUGAUUUGUUUCACUUUGGUCACUCAACUUCUAUUCAUCUGGAAGAUGGUCACUUGUCCUAGAUUUUCACUCUCACAAAAGAGGAAGAAUUGAAAUUCAAUGUGGCAGUUGUACAGAUAAAUUGCAUGCAUGUUAUGUUGCAUUUCUCUUCACUUUUGGAAAGCUGGUUUCAGUAAUAUAUAAUUAUAGAUGAAACAAAAGUUGGGUGACCAAAUUGGAAGAACAUGAAAUUUUAUUACGACUUGAACUUGAGUACUAUUUCAAUUGACUAAUAAUGCAAUUUUCCUUUAUCAUUUUGUUAAGACAAUUUAGAGCAUAUGCUUGUUAUUUGUAUUGCAAUACUGUUCUGUAGACAUCCUGUGUUUUGCAUGACUACAGUUUGACUUGAUCAACAUUAUUUAUCAUAACCUUUGUUCCAGUUGGAAGAUGACAAUGUUCCCUUCUGAUGAUGACAAGAGUUUACUCAAUGUGAAUGUGCAAACAAUAUGAAUUUAUAUUGUAGGACUGAAUUGAUUUUGAGCCAAAUACAGUGCAUGAAAGCCCAUGGUCUUCUAUUUUUUGGCAUAUACUUUGCUGAAUUCAAUAAUAAAAAAAAAAAAAACGUAGUCAUUGCUAUUUUAACACUUAAUUUAUAUUGCAUACUUCCAUUCGUGAGCAGUUUCCUUAGGGGCAAUCAUCACAAUACUAAAGGUUGAUUAAAACAUUUAGAAUGUUGUUGUUUAUGAGUUAUAAAUAUUAUCAUUAUCAUUGCUGUCGUGCAGUCUCAAUUCCAGCUCGUAAUUGUCAGAUUGAUGCUAUUAUUGUUGAUGAGUGUGACUUUAGAAGUUAACUUCAUGAUUUAGAACUAGAAGUAUAUGUUGACUUUUUGAAGGAGAUCUGUUUAGGUUGCAUUUUAUAGAACUCUGCAAUUGUGUUCCUUUUUGUUCACCCUUGAGGUGAACAAGUUUCUUUUUUUAACUCUUCAUUUGGUUAUAUCCUCUUUCAUUUCUGCUUCCUAUUUGCAUUUACUUGAAAAUUAGUUAAUAAGAACUUAUUGUUAUUGUCCUUCUCCUCGUUAUUUUGUCAAGGAUAUUUCCUUCUUUCAAAUUAUGCUUCUGUACGUAAUUCUUGUAUUUCUUUCUCUUCAUGUCUUGCAGCUUGUGAAGCUACUCGAACUGA